rnacentral:rRNA from 1 species
UACGUAGGGUGCGAGCGUUAAUCGGAAUUACUGGGCGUAAAGCGUGCGCAGGCGGUUCGUUAAGACAGGUGUGAAAUCCCCGGGCUCAACCUCGGGAAUGGCGCUUGUGACUGGCGGGCUUUAGAGUGCGGCAGAGGGGGGUGGAAUUCCACGUGUAGCAGUGAAAUGCGUAGAGAUGUGGAGGAACACCGAUGGCGAAGGCAGCCCCCCUGGGCCGACACUGACGCUCAUGCACGAAAGCGUGGGGAGCAAACAGG